GCCAGCAUAGCUCGCAACCACAUAGGGGUGCACAGGCUGCACUCCUACUAUUAAAAACGAUUAGGGCAAGUCUUACACUACCUAGUUUUCUGCCAUCUGUCUAUAUUCAAUUCCAGGGAAACACCCAGGAUCAGCCCUUUGUCCUGACCAACCUUACAGGAUGUAACAAAUAAAUCCAGGACAUACCAAACCUGGGCAGUAGCCGCAGAGUUUACUUGGCUUUUUGCGCAUCACCAUGUCAGUCUUGGAAACCUUUCUGCUAAACCUUUCAUCAGAAGCACCAACUAAGAAGCAGCUGAAAUACCAUUCGUCUCUGAAAAAUGCUGUUCAUAAGAAAACCAGAGGCACAUUUUCAAAACAUUUGUAUUUUUCAUAUUUUAAUUCAACUAAAUUAAUGAACAUGACUGUCAUUUUAAUAUAUGGCAGAGAAAAUACAUGUUUCAAAGAAAUGAAGUCAGAUGUCAUGGAAAAUUCUGAAUCUGGGAAAAGUUCGAUUAUUUUAUCAAUCAGAGAUGUCUACAGUUCAAUCCAAGAAGCAGAAAAACAAGACAGCUGCCCUUGAACAUACUCUCAGGUCAGUGUAUACAUGAAGUGGCAAGAUUAAGAGGGAAGAAAACAAUACCAAGGAUCUUGAAGAUCAGAAGAUUUUUCAAGCCAUUUUUAAAAUGGACCACAAGGAAUCAAAGACUUCUGAGAACAGGGGGAUUCACUGCCUAGAGCUGAGAGAAAAUCAGCAUAACAGGAGUUCCGUGAAGGUGUGGGAGAUUAGUGCCAGCUCCUUCAGAAAGUCAGGGUUCCUUUUAACACCACAGCACUUUGCCCUGCAAUGUCCACCCUCCCGUCGCUGCGCAGGCAAAUCUUCAACUCCCCUCCACGGCGGGAACACUGAAAGGCUGAAGGGAAACAAGAACCCACAGUUAAAAAACUAGUGUGGAGCACAAAGCACUUAAAAACCCAGGAAAAACUCCAGCAAAUGAGCCUUCUGUCUGCAGAAAGCAAACACUGCACCAGGGACAGGCUUUAGGGAUGAAGAUCAGCUGGGCUCUAUUUCCAACUGGAACUUGGCUCCUCAGUCUCACAAACCCGCUCCUGAACACCAGCUGGGAAGCUGCUGUGCUGCAGCCAACUGAAGCCUUGAGUUCUCCCUCCCUGGCAUACACUUCCUGCAGGUCAGAAGGAAGAACACCAAGCAUUAUCUCCAGGAGAAUGAAGAACCAUUUUCCUGGCACUGAACAGCUCGAGCUGAUAUGACAGUCAAAGAAGGAAUGAGGCUGAGGGGGAAAUAAGCUCACGCAGGCAGUGGAAAAAGUCUACAAAGAAACAUCACUGCUGCUUCAGCUGUUACAAACUGACACCAAGUUCACCCAAAGACAGGAACAGACACUGAUUUACAGAAUCCUGAAUAUAUAGUUUAAUACAACUGGAUCAACUCGAAGUAGAAACAGCCUUGUAACUAAUUACAGAACUAAGCUUUUGCCUGAACUGUUCAGUCAUACACAAGGUGGGAUGAUAAUGUUCACCUCCCUGUGGAGUCUGUAGCUGGUUUCAGCAGCCCCAUUUCAGUUCAGAUGGCACUGAGAAAAGGUCUGAGUUUCACAUAGUGUUGCUUUUGUAAAAGGCUGUAAAUGGAUGAAGAGGCUUUAAUGUCCACUCUCCUUACUCAAGGAAUUUCCAACUGCUCCAGGAGUUGUUCAAAGCUCAAGGGCACAUUUUCCCUCUCAACCCCACUAUUAUAAGAAGGGUAAUUGCAUUCAGACCCUUGCAGAGCACAGGCUUCAACAGAUGGCAGGUGUGCUGGACACUUUCAAACUAUUUCUGAGCCACUGCUGAUAAGAAAGCUCCUCUUGGCUCAGGUUGGUGAAUUGUCAGACAAAGCAGACACUCUAAGAGCAGAAACAGAACCUAUCUAAAGAUUGAUAUUAAUACUUUCUGUUCUUUUCCAUUUAUAGAGCCUCAGGUUAUUGUUUUUAAGUUGUCAGAACAUCACCUAGGAAUGAGUAUUGCUUCCACUGAAUAUUAUCGACUCUUAAAGACUCAAGCCAUGCUAAAUUUGAUCAGUUGGUAUUGCCAGGUCUGAAGGUCCCUCAAGAGAGCACAUUUAAAUAAAAGAGAUUAUUUCAAAUCUUCA